GGCUAACGCUGGCGGCGCGCCUAACACAUGCAAGUCGAACGAACCCUUCGGGGUUAGUGGCCGACGGGUGAGUAACGCGUGGAUAAUGUGCCUCUUUGCUGGGGAUACCGUUCCGAAAGGAACGUUAAUACCGAAUGUGCUUGUUUGGCGGCAUCGUCGAGCAAGUAAACUGUUAGGGUGAAGAGAGCAGUCCGCGUUCUAUCAGCUAGUUGGUGAGGUAACGGCUCACCAAGGCUACGACGGAUAACUGGUCUGAGAGGAUGAUCAGUCACACUGGAACUGAGACACGGUCCAGACUCCUACGGGAGGCAGCAGUGAGGAAUCUUGCACAAUGGGCGAAAGCCUGAUGCAGCGACGCCGCGUGAGGGAUGAAGGCCUUCGGGUUGUAAACCUCUGUCAGUAGGGAAGAAGAAUGACGGUACCUACUGAGGAAGCUGCGGCUAACUACGUG
rnacentral:rRNA from 1 species